rnacentral:rRNA from 1 species
UCAUGCUAUAGGAGCGGCCGAUGUCUGAUUAGCUAGUUGGUGGGGUAAAGGCCUACCAAGGCGACGAUCAGUAGCUGGGCUGAAAACACAAAAAACUGUACUGGGACUGAGACACGCCUCAAACUCCUAGGGGAGGGGGGAGUGUUGAAUUUUGGGCAAUGGGCGAAAGCCUGAUCCAGCAAUGCCGGGUGAGUGAAGAAGGCCUUCGAAAUGUAUUGCUCUUUUGACCGGAAAGAAAUGGUUCUGGUUAAUACCCGGAGUUGAUGACGGUACCGGAAGAAUAAGGACCGGCUAACUACGUGCCAGCGGGCGAGGUAAUACGUAGGGCCCAAGCGUUAAUCUUAUUUACUGAACGUAAAGCGCGCGCGGUCGGUUAUCCAAAGACCGAUGUGAAAUCCCCGAGCUUAACCUGGUAAUUGCAUUGCCGACUGCACGGGUAGAGUGUGACAGAGGAAACUAGAAUUCCCACGUGGAAAAAGUCAAAUGCGUAGAGAUGUGAAAGGAAUACCGAUGGCGAAGCCCAGCCUCCCUGGGAUUACACUGACGCUCAUGCACGAAAGCGGGGGAGAGCAAACAGGAAUUAGAUACCCCUGGUAGUCCAACGCCCAAAACGAUGUCAAGUUAGGUGUUUUUUUUUUCAUUUCCUUAGAACCGUAGCUAACGCGUGAAGUUGACCGCCUGGGGACUACGGUCGCAUGAUUAAAACUCAAAGGAACUGCCCGGCACCCCGCACAAGCGUGGGAUUUAAUUUUUAAUUAAUUCGAAAGCAAACCGAAACUACCCUUAACCUACCGCUUUAACAUUGCCCACUAACGGUAGCAGAGAGUCUCCUAUAAGAUG